CAAGGGCUGAACAAGUCAUUGGAUAGGAGU
rnacentral:piRNA from 1 species